CUGAGUGGCGGACGGGUGAGUGACGCGUGGGUAACCUGCCUCAUACAGGGGGAUAACAGUUAGAAAUGACUGCUAAUACCGCAUAAGCGCACGGUGCUGCAUGGCACAGUGUGAAAAACUCCGGUGGUAUGAGAUGGACCCGCGUCUGAUUAGCUAGUUGGUGGGGUAACGGCCUACCAAGGCGACGAUCAGUAGCCGGCCUGAGAGGGUGAACGGCCACAUUGGGACUGAGACACGGCCCAAACUCCUACGGGAGGCAGCAGUGGGGAAUAUUGCACAAUGGGGGAAACCCUGAUGCAGCGACGCCGCGUGAGCGAAGAAGUAUUUCGGUAUGUAAAGCUCUAUCAGCAGGGAAGAAAAUGACGGUACCUGACUAAGAAGCACCGGCUAAAUACGUGCCAGCAGCCGCGGUAAUACGUAUGGUGCAAGCGUUAUCCGGAUUUACUGGGUGUAAAGGGAGCGUAGACGGUUGUGUAAGUCUGAUGUGAAAGCCCGGGGCUCAACCCCGGGACUGCAUUGGAAACUAUGUAACUAGAGUGUCGGAGAGGUAAGCGGAAUUCCUAGUGUAGCGGUGAAAUGCGUAGAUAUUAGGAGGAACACCAGUGGCGAAGG
rnacentral:rRNA from 1 species